AUACGGAGGAUGCAAGCGUUAUCCGGAUUUAUUGGGUUUAAAGGGUGCGUAGGCUGUUUGGAAAGUCAGGGGUGAAAGCCCGGCGCCUAACGCCGGAACUGCCUUUGAUACUUCCGAGCUGGAAUACGGAUGCCGUGGGAGGAAUGAGUAGUGUAGCGGUGAAAUGCAUAGAUAUUACUCAGAACACCGAUUGCGAAGGCAUCUCACGAAUCCGUCAUUGACGCUGAGGCACGAAAGCGUGGGGAUCAAACAGGAUUAGAUACCCUGGUAGUCCACGCAGUAAACGAUGAUGACUAACCGUCGGCGAUACACAGUCGGUGGCCAAGCGAAAGCGAUAAGUCAUCCACCUGGGGAGUACGUUCGCAAGAAUGAAACUCAAAUGAAUUGACGGGG
rnacentral:rRNA from 1 species